CGCCUGUUUAUCAAAAACAUCUUUUCUCGUUAGUUUUUGAAGUAUGGCCUGCCCACUGACCUUUGAUGUUGAAGGGCCGCGGUAUUUUGACCGUGCAAAGGUAGCAUAGUCAUUAGUUCUUUAAUUGUGAUCUGGUAUGAAUGGCUUGACGAGGCAUGGGCUGUCUUAAUUUUGAAUUGUUUAUUGAAUUUGGUCUUUGGGUUAAAAUUCUUAGAUGUUUUUAUGGGACGAGAAGACCCUAUAGAGUUUAACAUUUAUUAUGGUCCUUUUUCUGUUUGUGAGGGUUCACUGGGCUGUUUAGUAUGUUUUGUUGGGGUGAUGGGAGGGAUUUAUUUAACCCCUCCUUUAGGUUGUUAUAUUUAUUUAUGUUUACUUGAUCCAUUUAUUUUGAUUGUAAGAUUAAAUUACCUUAGGGAUAACAGCGUAA
rnacentral:rRNA from 1 species